AUAGCUGUAUAUUUUUUAUUAUUAUUAGGAAUUGAACUCGGAAUUUUAAGGUUUACAAUACUUGCACAUUCUGUGAACCAACCACUUGCACCGAAUCCCGGUGGUGUUGAUUAGUCUUAUUCAUAAAAAAUAUAAUCUUUAAUAUUUACCCUUGUAAUGAUGCAGAUAAUGAUUCCCCAUAACUACACUGAAUUCAUUGAUGGCCUAACCUUACUAGUGAAAAAGAAUGUCAUACCUAUGAGUAGAAUUGAUGAUGCAGUGAAGAGAAUUUUGAGAGUCAAGUUUGUUAUGGGCCUAUUUGAAAAUCCAUUGGCUGAUUACAGCCUUGCCGAUCAGCUCGGGAGCCAGGUUAGUCGAUCAGCUCAGAGCUUACACUGUCAAUCAAUAGUAAUCGUAAGAUCGUUUAAAAUGUUUGGUGUUGACAGGAGCAUAGGGAAUUGGCUAGGGAAGCGGUGAGGAAAUCAUUGGUACUAUUAAAGAAUGGUGAAAAUGUUGAUAAGCCGAUACUUCCUCUUCCUAAAAAGGCUUCCAAAAUACUUGUUGCUGGAAGUCAUGCUGAUAAUCUAGGAUAUCAAUGUGGUGGAUGGACCAUUCAAUGGCAAGGACAAAGUGGCAACAACAUCACCACUGGUAUACAAAACAGCUAUUUUCCGCGAUUUACAAUUGACAGUACUGAUAUUCAUAACAUACAAUGUUAACAUUGCUUAACUAAUAUACAGGUACUCCAAUUCUGAGUGCUAUAAAAAACGCAGUCGACAAAGAAACCAAGGUAUUCUACGAGGAGAAUCCUUCAUUAGACUAUGUAAAAUCCAAUGAUUUUUCAUAUGCAAUUGUGAUAGUUGGAGAGACACCAUAUGCUGAAACAAAUGGUGACAGCUUAAACUUAACAAUCUCUGGACAUGGAUAUGAAACGAUAGACAAUGUAUGCAGCGGAGUGAAAUGUGUCGUUGUGUUAAUCACCGGUAGACCUAUUGUUAUACAACCAUAUCUUGAGAAAAUUGAAGGACUUGUGGAUGAUUGGCUUCCUGGUAGUGAAGGUUCUGGUGUUGCCGAUGUUUUGUUUGGUGAUUAUGGAUUUACCGGUAAACUUCCAAGGACAUGGUUUAAGACUGUUGAUCAGUUACCAAUGAAUGUUGGUGAUUCUCAUUAUGAUCCUUUGUUUCCAUUUGGAUUUGGUCUUACAACUGAAGCUCAUAAGGCUACUUCAGAAUAUUAGAUUUUGUUAAAUCAUUUAGCAUUUUUUGUGUUCUUAGGCUAUUUAUUACUAUUGUAUUUUUUUCUACAUUAGAUGUUAGUACCAAAUUGGUAUUUUCAUAUACUAUGUUUGAAAAAAAAAAUCAGCUUUAAUUGUUAAACUUAUUGAGUUCCAAUUAAAUUUAUAUGUUUUUUGUUUAGACAAAUGUAAGUGGUUAGAAAAUUGUUAACGGCGGAGAUCGAACUCUAACCUCCUUAUGAAUACUUUUUCGAUGUUCUCACUUAUAUUACUGAGCUACACCUUCAAGAUCAAAUCUAUCCGAUGUUAACCUUCUUGAACUUACAUUUUAUGAAUUUCGGAAAGAGACUUUGAAAGUCUAUAUUUGUUUUUAAAAAAAAAAUAAUGCCAAAAGAUAAUGUAGUUUUUGUUUUAAGAAAUAAAUCUUAGGAGGCAAGUAUGAGUUAUGAUGCUUAGAUUGUGAUCUUACCGGAUUUAGUAAGACCACAAAAAAUACAACUAACCGUUGGAGGAGAGAUGUUGAUAUGAGACAAAAAAUAGAAUCUCUCAAGUGUAGGGAUUCUAAUUACUUAAACUAUCAUUAGGGCCUGGUAAGGCUACAAUUAGUUGAGUGGUUCACAAAUUUCAAAAUAUUGCUAUAGAGAAUGAAAUCAAAAUGGAUGAAACAUGAAAUUGAGCUCUAAUGUACCAUUUAUCACCGAAUCAAAAUGGAUGAAACAAUUAUGUAAUAAUCACUACUACAAUUGAAAAUAUAUUUUAAAACUAUCCAUACGUGAUUUGAUCAUUAAAUUUGAACAAUCAUAAACAAAACAAAAAUUAAAAGUAACGUUGUUAAUUAUUUAUUUAAUUGAGAUCAGAAUGGAUCAUAAUCACAUGUUCCAUCGUUGACUAUUUUUUUUUGUUUGUCUAUUUAUAUGUCACACUCUUACAACUACUUUACAAAUAUUCACAUUCUUCCACUUUCAUACUUUGCCUUUUUAUUAUUCUAUGAAAAGUACACAUUUUGUCUCUCCUUUUUUCUGUAACAUUGUAGUGCCACAUAAAAAGUUUGUUUGCCAUAAACUCAAACUUGUAAAUUGGUAGGCAAUUUUUUUUUUUUUUGUUACAUUUUAUUCUUGUAAAUUCUAUUUCUGUUGUUGAUUGUUGAUAUGAAUUAGCAGUGGUCGGCUUCAUGGUAUUACGGGCCGUUAGAUUAAUAAACUUUUCAUCUAACGUCCUCCAUCCAUCCAACUUUAUUGGAAAGUCGGAUAUAUGAUCAAGCCGAUUGCUGAGGAUCGAAGUUUUUGUUUAUUGGUUGAUUGCAAAUAAAUUUCAUGACCAAACUAGAAAUGGGUCUAGAACUAUUUUAUGAAUGGUUUUGUUUUCCAUGAUGUUUUUUAAUUACCAAACAUUGGUUUAGUUGCUUAUUUUCAUUAUUUGUUAUUGGACAUGUUUAUGUCUUGUCCCUUCUUCUCUAGAACUUUUUUCAUUUGGAUUUUGGCAUGUGUCUUUUCUAGAACAUUGUUUUGUUUUCUCUAGAACAUGUUUAUGAAUAAUUUGAAGUUGUUUGUGAUCUUAUUCUGUAGUUGUUUUGAGAGGGAGAAAUGGUCAAAGGUGCAAUCUCUUUGGUGGCCGGGCUAGUGCUCUUCCAUUGUUGGGUAGCAAUGGCAGAAGCGGAGCAUUUGAGAUACAAAGAUUCAAAGCAGCCGUUGAAUACUCGAAUCAAGGAUCUUAUUGACAGGAUGACUUUGGAAGAGAAAAUUGGUCAGAUGGUUCAGAUUGAACGCGGUGUUGCUUCUGCCGAAGUAAUGAACAAGUACUUCAUUGGUAAGAUUUAUUUGCUAAAUUUUUUUUAUCUUUUAAACUAGAUUUUCAAAAAAAUUUGUUAUUGUUCAUUUGAGCUGCAAAAUGAACAUAAGGAAAUUCACUAAGUUUUUUCUUUUUAUCUCCAUGCCUGCAAUGAAAUUUUAAUUGAGGUUGCAUAUGGAUUCGUUGUAGUAACAGUAUCACGUAGUUUCAUGUUGUAAUCCAUCUCGACCAUUGAUUUGAGGUCGGACUGUUUAGAUUACACAUUCAUUACAUCAAUAUUAAACGAUUCCGACAACCGAUUUAGGUCAGAUGGCUAAGUCACUGCUUGAUUUAAGAUGCCAAAUAAUUUGAAUUAGGAUUUUCUUAACUUUUUAUCUUUAAAUUUUUUAUAGGGAGUGUUCUAAGUGGUGGAGGAAGUGUUCCUAAACCAAAGGCUACUGCAAAGGAUUGGGUUGACAUGAUCAAUGAAUUUCAAAAGGGUGCUUUAUCAACUAGGCUUGGAAUUCCAAUGAUAUAUGGAAUUGAUGCUGUUCAUGGAAAUAAUAAUGUCUAUAACGCAACUAUUUUUCCUCACAAUGUUGGUUUAGGAGCUACAAGGUAUGCCUAUAUUUUUUGUGUGAAAAUUUAAGUUCUUCAAAUCCUUUUUUUGGAAGAAAAUAGUUUCUCAAUUCUUGGUUAUUAUUGAUUUCUUUUAUUCAAAUUCAAAAGUCUUCUCUUGUCUGUUGAAAUACUAUGAUUUUAUUAUUGUCUACUAGUUAUAAAAAAUGGAAUAUGUGCAACUAUAAAUUUGUCAAAACGUGCUUUCAUGUUGUCUAGGGAAGGUACACAAUCCAAAUAAAAUAUUACAACUGGUUGAGACCUAUAAUAUAAUGCAAGAUCAUACCUAUAAUAAUUUUAGUGAUGUUAUCAAAUAUAUUUAAUUUAUUAAAGUGUUCAUAUUUUAAUGGUGUAAUAUUUCCUUUGGUUGACUUUUACUCUAUAUUCUUUUUCCUAUGAUAUUAGACUUUAUUGUAAACAAGCAAGCUAUAAUUUUUAAUUUUAAUAUGAAUGUGCGAGGUGUUGUCAUUAUAGUUUUUGAAUGUAUUGAAAUUAUAUGGAUCAAAUCGGCUAAAAAAGACACAUUCGAGAAUCAAACUAACUAACGAAAGACAAAUUUGAGGAUCAAAUAGACUAAUGACACACUACACCAUUUGUUGUCUCUAGCAACACUUUUUAAGCAACAUGUAAAAAUUGUUGCUAAAAGUCUCUAAUUACACAAAGAAAAUGCCUUUUUUUUCACUAUGACUCUUUGUAUUGAUGAUGUAUUUUUUAUAUCCCAAAUUGCAGGGACCCUCAACUGGUGAAGAAGAUUGGUGAAGCAACCGCUCUUGAAUCCAGAGCAACUGGAAUUCCAUAUGUCUUUGCACCUAGCAUCGCGGUAAUUUAGAUAAUCAAAAUUAUACCUUAGCUCUUUGUCGAUCGUAGAAAAUAACAAUUUGUUCAAAUUUCGCUACGCUACAAUGCUAUAGCGCUAGUAUUGGACAACAAAUUGUAUUAAAUAGUGUGUUGCACAACAAUAGCGAUUUGUUCAAAUUUUGCUAUACGCAGUAGCGAUGUUGCGCCGCUUUUGCAAAUAUUUGACAAUAUUGUUCAACCUAAUGACAUAUGUGUUUGAAUUUAUAGGUGUGUAGAGAUCCAAGAUGGGGUAGAUGUUAUGAAAGUUAUAGUGAAGAUCAUAAAAUUGUCCAAGCUAUGACUGAGUUAAUUCCAGGAUUACAAGGUGACCUCCCUGCAAAUUGGUCAAAUGGUGUUCCAUAUGUUGUUGGAAAGUAAGAGAUCAUGAUGCUGCUGCAUCUUUAUAUAUGCGUGUUUCCUAUAUAACAGUUUGGUUUCCUUCCUAAACCGAAACACGAAUAGUCCUGCAUUUAAUUGUUAAUUUUGAAUUUUUUUUUCGUAUACAAUCAUUUGUCUAUGUUACACUAUUAUGUUUAUCUUGCCUUCAUCAAUUACUUUUAUUGACUUUCAGAACUUACUUUGAUUAUAAAUUCAACUUUGCAUCCUUCUUACAAAAUCAUUCUAUUCAUACUUGAACUUAAAACUGAUUUUCUUGUCAUUUCCUUGUACAGCAAGAAAGUUGCAGCUUGUGCUAAGCACUUUGUUGGUGAUGGUGGAACAACAGAAGGAAUCAAUGAGGAUAACACAGUUGCAACCAGACAUGAAUUGUUUAGCAUUCACAUGCAAGCUUACUAUAACUCGAUCACUAAGGUUGUCUUAACCAUCAUGGUCUCAUACUCAAGCUGGAAUGGAGAAAAGAUGCAUUCUAAUCGCGAUUUAGUCACCGGCUUUCUCAAGAACACGCUCCAUUUCAGGGUAAUACUUUACCUCAUAGGCCUUGGAUUUCAUAGUUUCGAAAGAUUAUAUCAAGAAUUUAUUUUUUAUGAAUUAUCUGUGUAAAAGACGUAACAAUAAAUUAUACUAUGACUGUGUAAAAUAGGUGACUAUAUAUUAUAGCAUAAAUAAUUGUAUAUUAACUUAAGCCUGAAAUUGUUUAUUUAUCGAUCAUCAUAUUAGUAUAUGCUUAAAAUUCUAUGUUUUUAUGCAGGGUUUUGUCAUAUCAGAUUGGAAGGGAAUUGACAGGAUAACUUCACCUCCUCAUGCUAACUACACAUUUUCAAUUGAAGCCGGAGUGAAUGCCGGUAUUGACAUGGUAAACUAUGAAUUUUACUAAUCUUUUGAAUAGCCUUAUAUAUUUUAGGGUUUACAAUACUUGCACACUCUGGGAACCAACCAAUUUCUCUAAAUCCUGGUGGUGUUGAUUAGUCUUAUUUGAUUUUAUUCAUAAAAAAUAUGAUCUUUAAUACUUACCCUUUUAAUGAUGCAGAUAAUGAUUCCCUUUAACUACACGGAAUUCAUCGAUGGCCUAACCUUACUAGUGAAAAAGAAUGUCAUACCUAUGAGUAGAAUUGAUGAUGCAGUGAAGAGAAUUUUGAGAGUGAAGUUUGUUAUGGGCCUAUUUGAAAAUCCAUUGGCUGAUUACAGCCUUGCCGAUCAAAUCGGUAGCCCGGUUAGUCGAUGAUCUUGGAUUUAAAUAUGAUUUUAGUCCUAAAAACUUAUACCAUAAAUCCAUAAUGAGAAACUAAAUUGGCAACAUAAUUUGACAGGAG
rnacentral:lncRNA from 1 species